GUGAAUCAUCAAAUCUUUGAACGCAAAUUGCACUCUCUGGGAUUCCGGAGAGUGUUCCAGUUUGAGGGUAAUUAAAAAGAAUCUUGAACCAGUUUUUUUUGGUCAUUGGAAAUGAGUUCUCCGCUUUUAUAGCGGUAGCUUGAAAUAAAUGGUCAAGUCUCAUUUUAUGCUUGACUCGUAAU
rnacentral:misc_RNA from 1 species